rnacentral:tRNA from 1 species
GGUGGCUCAGUGGUUAAGCAUUCGGCUUCUAACUGAAUUGGUGGUGGUUCAAACCCAACAACCG